AUACCUUUCUCGGCCUUUUGGCUAAGAUCAAGUGUAGUAUCUGUUCUUAUCAGUUUAAUAUCUGAUAUGUGGGCUAUAUGUCCACUUUGAUAUUAAAUUUAUUUUUUGUGGGGGAGGGCUCACCACAGUGGCUUGCCACUGGGGCCCUCGAGCGUCGCCCAGGCUUUGCACUGCUGCCCGGGCCUGGCGCACCCUAA
rnacentral:snRNA from 1 species